UUGACUUAAAUUGGGGUAAUCUUGGGUGUCCGCGUGUGUAGUGUGUUGUUGUUCUCCGAGUCUGGGAUUUUGCUCUGUUUCUUCUGUCUCUGUGGCUGUGGGUUUUCUUUUGUACGCUGCUUAGCAGAAAGAAGCAGCAGCAGCAGCGGAAGAAGAAGAAGAAGCAAAAUUCAGAAGCGGGCAAAGAGAAGUAACUGUGGGUUAGGUUUGUUAGCUUCAACUUGAAUCGAAAUUCGUAAAGUAAAAGAGAAAAAAAAAAAAGAAAAAAGGAAAAGAGGGACAGAAUAGGCGUUGAUAGACCGCGGAAUCUCAAAGAAUCUCACAACAGGAUUUGUGGUUUUAGGUGCACACACUGCACACACCUCUCUUUUUCAUCACUAUUAAUUCAUUUUUUCAUUCUGCUCUUCUCUUCUAUUCUUCUACCGUUUACUCCCACAACUUUCAACCUUCCCUUGAUUUCUAUUUAUCGAUACCCUUUUCUUCUUCUUUCAAGUUUCAACCCUCUCUUUAUUUAUUUAUUUAUGUUCUAAUAAAAAAAAAUUGGAUUGAGCAUAAUCAAACAAAUAAAAGUGAAGAGGGUGGGUAUGGAGGACGGGAAUAGGGUUCCGGCGGGGGAUGAGGCAGUGGGUUCUUACUGGCUGGAUGCGUGUGAGGACAUAUCCUGCGAUUUCAUGGAUUUUGAUGUCUCAUCCAUCGUCUCAGAGCAACCUGACAACACUUCCAAUCAGGACUUCUUCGGUGGCAUUGAUAAAAUAUUGGACAGCAUCAAGAACGGUGCUGGUCUCCCUCCUCAUGUUGAACCCAAUUCCAAUUCCAAUGUUGUUGCAGGAGCAGAAGCUUGUUUGCUUAAUGAUCCCUCCAAUGCCACUCUCCACAAGAAUGGAUUGGUUGGGGAGAAACAUCCUCGUACUGCUGAUGCUUUUGACCAUUCUGGACCUCAGAGUAAUGGCUCUAGUAAGAUGUCAAAUGGGAGUGAAGGGGGAGUUUCGGCUAAUCACUCUCAGGAAAGUGGAGGUGUGCUUCUCAAUGGACUUGACGGUGAAGAGAGAUGCGGCAAAAGGGCUCGCCUUGGCAGCUACAGGAAUGACAGGCCUUGUUAUGGUAGACCGAAUUAUCAAGCCAAGGAGAGGGAGAGGUGUUUGAAUAACAGGAAGAGGCCGCGGGAUAGGGAUGAGAUUGAUAGGAGGGAUAAGGAUGCCGUGAGGAAAAGAGAGCAUUAUGGUAAUUGUGGCAGGAGGGAUGUUAGAGAUAGGGAUUGGAGGGAUAGAGAACCCAGGGGUUACUGGGAGAGGGAUAAGUCAGGUUCUAAUGACAUGGUCUUUCGCUUGGGCACUUGGGAACCUGAUCGUAAUCGAGAAGAGAAAAUGGCAAAUGAUGCCAAACAGGAAACUAAUGGAAAGCUUGAUAAGAAAUCUGAGGAGGCUAAGGAGAGGGCUCCUGAGGAGAAAGCUAGACAGUAUCAGUUGGAUGUUCUGGAGCAGGCAAAGAAGAAAAAUACUAUAGCUUUUCUUGAAACUGGAGCAGGGAAAACCUUAAUUGCUGUUCUUCUCAUUAAAAGUAUACAGGAGACUUUGCAAAAGCAAAAUAAGAAGAUGCUCGCUGUAUUUUUAGUUCCAAAAGUUCCACUUGUUUACCAGCAAGCUGAAGUAAUUCGUGAGCGGACUGGUUAUCAAGUGGGCCACUAUUGUGGAGAAAUGGGGCAGGAUUUCUGGGAUGCUCGAAGGUGGCAGCGUGAAUUUGACACCAAACAUGUUUUAGUCAUGACUGCUCAAAUUCUUUUGAACAUUUUGAGGCAUAGCAUAAUAAAAAUGGAAUCAAUCAAUCUCUUAAUUUUGGAUGAGUGCCACCAUGCUGUGAAGAAGCACCCAUAUUCACUGGUGAUGUCUGAGUUCUACCAUACAACAUCCAAAGAGAAGAGGCCAUCUGUAUUUGGAAUGACUGCCUCUCCUGUUAACUUGAAGGGUGUCUCCAGCCAAGUAGAUUGUGCAAUAAAAAUUCGUAAUCUUGAAAGUAAGCUAGAUUCAAUAGUUUGCACUAUUAAAGAUCGUAAGGAGUUGGAGAAACAUGUGCCAAUGCCCUCUGAAGUUGUGGUGGAGUAUGAUAAAGCUGCCAGUUUAUGUUAUCUACAUGAGCAGAUAAGGCAGAUGGAGGUUGAAGUUGAAGAAGCUGCAAAAUCUAGCUCAAGAAGAAGCAAAUGGCAGUUCAUGGGAGCUAGAGAUGCCGGAGCUAAGGAAGAGCUGCGCCAAGUAUAUGGUGUUUCAGAAAGAACAGAAAGUGAUGGAGCUGCAAACCUAAUUCAAAAGUUGAGAGCUGUUAAUUAUGCACUUGGCGAACUGGGACAAUGGUGUGCAUACAAGGUUGCACAGUCCUUUCUAGCUGCCUUGCAAAAUGAUGAAAGGGCAAACUACCAACUUGAUGUCAAGUUUCAGGAAUCUUAUCUAAGUAAAGUUGUCUCUCUUCUGAAAUGUCAACUGUCAGAAGGUGCAGUUUCUGACAAAAAUGAUGGAAUUGAUGACUCAGAGACUGGUGCAGCUAAAAGUGGGUCUGAACAUGAAGAGAUUGAAGAAGGAGAGCUUCCAGAUAGUCACGUUGUCUCCGGUGGGGAGCAUGUGGAUGUCAUUAUAGGAGCUGCUGUGGCUGAUGGCAAGGUGACCCCCAAGGUGCAGGCACUAAUCAAAAUACUUCUCAAGUACCAGCAUACAGAAGACUUCCGUGCAAUCAUCUUUGUUGAGCGUGUUGUGUCUGCAUUAGUUCUACCCAAGGUCUUUGCAGAGCUUCCAUCUCUUAGUUUUGUGAAAUGUGCAAGCUUGAUUGGCCACAACAAUAGUCAGGAAAUGCGGACCUACCAAAUGCAGGAUACAAUUGCCAAGUUCCGUGAUGGGCGGGUCACGUUGUUAGUGGCCACUAGUGUAGCUGAAGAAGGACUUGAUAUUCGGCAAUGCAAUGUUGUUAUUCGCUUUGACCUGGCGAAGACUGUUCUGGCAUACAUUCAAUCUAGGGGCCGUGCUAGAAAGCCUGGGUCUGAUUACAUCCUUAUGGUUGAGAGGGGAAAUUUGUCACAUGAAGCAUUCCUACGGAAUGCCAGGAACAGUGAGGAGACUUUGCGCAAAGAAGCAAUAGAGAGAACAGACCUAAGUCAUCUGAAAGACACUUCAAGAUUAAUUUCUGUAGACACCCGGCCUGGAACAGUGUACCAGGUCAAAUCAACUGGUGCAGUUGUGAGCUUAAAUUCUGCCGUAGGUCUUAUCCACUUCUACUGCUCUCAGCUACCCAGUGACAGAUAUUCAAUUCUUCGUCCUGAGUUUAUUAUGGAGAGGCACGAAAAACCAGGAGGUCCCACUGAGUAUUCUUGCAAGCUUCAACUGCCGUGUAAUGCACCAUUUGAAAAUCUUGAGGGUCCUAUAUGCAGUUCAAUGCGCCUGGCCCAACAGGCUGUUUGUCUGGCUGCUUGCAAGAAACUGCAUGAGAUGGGAGCAUUCACUGACAUGCUAUUGCCGGAUAAAGGAAGUGGGGGAGAAAGAGAAAAGGCUGAGCAAAAUGAUGAAGGAGAUCCACUUCCAGGGACUGCUAGACAUAGGGAAUUCUAUCCUGAAGGUGUGGCUGACAUACUGAAGGGAGAAUGGGUCUUAUCUGGAAAAGAUGCUUGCAACAACUCCAAAUUGCUUCAUCUUUAUAUGUAUGCUGUGAAGUGCGAAAAUGUAGGCCAUUCAAAGGAUCCGUUCUUGACUCAAGUUUCAGAUUUUGCAGUUCUUUUUGGCAAUGAGCUGGAUGCAGAGGUGUUAUCGAUGUCAAUGGAUCUAUUUAUCGCUCGAACCGUGACUACAAAGGCAUCUCUUGUCUUUAGAGGGUCAAUAGAUAUUUCUGAGAGUCAGCUGGCAUCCUUGAAAAGCUUUCAUGUUAGAUUAAUGAGCAUUGUCUUGGAUGUGGAUGUUGAACCAUGUACCACUCCUUGGGAUCCUGCAAAAGCAUAUUUGUUUGUCCCAAUGGUUUGCGAUAAGUCUGUAGAUCCUAUGAACCAAGUUGAUUGGCAUCUGGUUGAGACAAUAAUUGGAGCAGAUGCAUGGAAGAAUCCCCUCCAGAGAGCUCGACCAGAUGUUUACCUUGGUACUAAUGAGAGAACAUUAGGUGGAGACAGAAGGGAAUAUGGAUUUGGGAAGUUGCGUCAUGGCAUGGCUUUUGGACAAAAAUCACAUCCAACCUAUGGAAUCAGAGGAGCUGUGGCCCAGUUUGAUGUGGUGAAAGCUUCAGGAUUGGUUCCUAACAGAGAUUCCAUGCAAACACAAAAGCACAUCAAUAUGACUAUCAAAGGGAGAUUGAUGAUGGCAGAUACCUGUACUAAUGCUGAGGAUCUGUUAGGGAAAAUCGUAACUGCUGCUCAUUCAGGGAAGAGGUUUUAUGUUGAUUCAAUACGCUAUGAUAUGUCAGCGGAGAACUCUUUCCCUAGGAAAGAAGGUUAUCUUGGUCCUCUAGAGUACAGUUCAUAUGCUGAUUACUACAAGCAAAAGUAUGGGGUUGAUUUGAUAUACAAGCAACAACCUCUUAUAAGAGGGCGUGGUGUCUCAUACUGUAAGAAUCUUCUGUCCCCCCGAUUUGAGCACAGUGAAGGACACGAAGGUGAAUCUGAAGAGACUCAUGACAAAACUUAUUAUGUUUUCCUUCCUCCUGAGCUAUGCCUAGUUCACCCUCUGCCUGGAUCACUUGUCCGUGGUGCCCAGAGGUUGCCUUCAAUAAUGAGGAGGGUUGAAAGCAUGCUACUUGCUAUUCAGCUAAAGAAUAUGAUAAAUUAUCCUGUCCAGGCUUUAAAGAUCUUGGAAGCCUUGACCGCUGCCUCUUGCCAGGAGACAUUCUGCUAUGAGAGGGCAGAGCUUCUUGGAGAUGCUUACCUGAAAUGGGUUGUUAGUCGAUUUCUUUUCCUAAAAUACCCACAGAAACAUGAAGGACAACUUACUAGGAUGAGGCAACAAAUGGUCAGUAACAUGGUAUUGUAUCAGUAUGCAUUAAGUAAAGGACUUCAAUCAUAUAUUCAAGCAGAUCGCUUUGCCCCAUCCAGAUGGGCAGCUCCUGGGGUGCUUCCUGUCUUUGAUGAGGAUAUCAAGGAUGGGGAUUCAUCUUUGUUUGACCAGGAGAGAUCCAUUUCUAAGACUGAGAGUAUGGAUUGUCGGACUGAUGAAUAUGAGGAUGAGAUGGAAGAUGGUGAACUUGAGAGUGAUUCAAGUUCUUACAGAGUUUUGUCCAGUAAGACACUUGCAGAUGUUGUGGAAGCACUCAUUGGGGUAUAUUAUGUUGAAGGUGGUAAGAGUGCUGCUAACCACCUUAUGAAAUGGAUUGGAAUUCAAAUAGAGUUUGAUCCUGAUGAGAUGGAGUGUACAAGAAAGCCGUUUAAUGUUCCAGACAGCAUACUUAGGAGUGUUGAUUUUGAUGCUUUAGAAGGUGCUUUAAAUCUGAACUUUAAAGACAGGGGGCUGCUGGUAGAAUCCAUAACUCAUGCCUCCAGACCAUCUUCUGGAGUAUCCUGUUAUCAACGGUUGGAGUUUGUUGGUGAUGCUGUCUUGGAUCAUCUUAUUACAAGGCACUUGUUUUUCACUUACACUAAUCUGCCACCAGGACGUCUGACUGAUCUUCGGGCUGCUGCUGUAAAUAAUGAAAAUUUUGCACGUGUUGCAGUUAAACAUAACCUUCAUGUGCAUCUCCGACAUGGUUCCAGUGCCCUAGAAAAACAGAUUAAAGAAUUUGUGAAGGAAGUGCAAGAUGAAUUGUCAAAGCCAGGGUUUAACUCCUUUGGUCUGGGAGACUGCAAAGCUCCCAAGGUCCUUGGUGACAUUGUUGAAUCUAUUGCAGGUGCUAUUUUUCUUGACAGUGGGAGGGAUACUACUAUUGUUUGGAAGGUUUUUCAGCCUCUUUUGCAUCCUAUGGUUACCCCGGAGACUCUGCCAAUGCAUCCUGUGCGUGAGCUGCAAGAGCGAUGUCAGCAGCAAGCCGAAGGCUUAGAGUAUAAAGCAAGUCGUAUUGGCAAUUUGGCCACUGUUGAAGUGUUCAUUGACGGGGUACAAGUAGGGGCUGCUCAAAAUCCACAGAAAAAAAUGGCACAGAAAUUAGCUGCAAGAAAUGCCCUUGCUGCUUUGAAAGAGAAGGAAGUGGGAAAAACUCAGGAGAAGAAUGAUGAAAAUGGGAAAAAGAAUGGAAAUCAGACAUUUACUAGACAGACGUUAAAUGAUAUCUGUUUACGAAGAAAUUGGCCUAUGCCAUUCUAUAGGUGUGUAAAUGAGGGUGGUCCAGCACACGCAAAGAGGUUUACAUUUGCGGUACGCGUCAAUACUACUGAUAGAGGAUGGACAGAUGAAUGUGUUGGAGAGCCAAUGCCAAGUGUCAAAAAGGCCAAAGACUCGGCUGCUGUUCUUCUCUUAGAACUACUAAACAAAUUAUACUCGUGAAAGAUGGAGUUGUUCACGUUCUCUCUUGUCAAAACAUUUAAACCAUUUCUGUGCAUCAGGAUAGGAGUGGAUAUAGAACAAGUUGCCGACCAGAAUUUUAGAGAGCAGUCAACCAACAUUUUAGUCUUGAUUGUUUCCAAGAACUCCUGCAAGAGAAUGAAGGUUACAAAAGUUGGGUCAACAUUGACGAGAACACAUUGCCAAAUUAUGCCUUGGAAACUGACAAAUAUAUUUCAAACUUUUCAAGUUCGAGGAUUCUACAUGAAGCAUUACGUAUCGAGCACAGUUGAUAUUAAGCAUUACAUUAAGCACGGUUGAUGAACCACGCAGAUUGCCGAUUAUUCUGAGUGAUGGAGAUUGGAGAAUAGCAUUCUUGUCUAUCGGCUCAAGGUCUGCAGAAUAUACUCUGCGUAAAGAUCCCUGCACCAAAUCAGAGGUAAGAUAUUAAAGUAGCGUGAAAAAUAUGAAGCAGAUUCCAAAUUUUAUAAUAUUGAUUUAUUUUUACAUUUUGUUUGUUUUGCAGUUAUGUUCGAUAAAAGUUUAUUUUUUUAGUGUAAAAAAGUGACGUAAAAUAAUCUUGAUUCAUAGUGAAAUUAUGUAACUAUUAUUGGUUAUAUAAACGUGACAGAAAUGACCAAAAAGUGAAAACAAAAGCGGCACCAGAGAGAGAGAGGAUUUUGUGACUGAAAUGUUAUUUUAUUUACCAUGAACAACAUAAAAGUCAGUUUAAAUUCUAAGCACGAGGUUAGGUUGAGAUAUACUGACAUUGAGUACUGGAUG